UUCUGCUGCAACCUAUUAAUGGACGGUAUGUGAUUAGCGACCCUUACAAGAAUGCAGUAGCAGUGAGCUGCACGUAUAUCACAUAACUGCAGUUACACGAAUCACGCCAGCUUGCUGAUGCAUUUGUAAUUUAGAUUACUUACUGCUAAACAGCAGUUCCAAUAAUUUGCUGAACAAGGAGAGUAGCUUGUCCACAGCACAUUGUAGCAAGCUUGGUCUGAUCUCCGCAGCUUGGCAAAGUGCUGAAAAUGUCUCGUUCACCAUCAGCAAGAGGAGGAUGGAGAGUGCAGUGUUAAUACAGCUGACCAAAACAUUUUUAAAUAUAAUAUUACAGGCACAGCUAUCCAAAUAGGAACUGUCUUGCAACAUGGGUGGCAGGCGGUAGUGCUGCUUUGAGGAGCACUGACACUAAAUCAAGGAGUAUAGUAUAAAGGCAUACUUCAGAGCCACAGAAAAGUAACCAUUCAGAAAAAGAAGAACUAGAAAUGGACAUAUAGUGAGGCUGGAAGAGAAUAUUUUAACAUGUCACAUACAUGCUUCUUUGGAAAUGUAGAUCAUCUGUAAUAAAUUUAAGGCAGAAA